CCUACGGGUGGCAGCAGUGAGGAAUAUUUGUCAAUGGACGGAAGUCUGAACCAGCCAUGCCGCGUGCAGGAAUACGGGUCUAUGAGUUGUAAACUCCUUUUGUACAAGGGUAAACCUGAAUACGUGUAUUCAGCUGAAAAUACUGUGCUAAUACUGAUCGGCCAACCCCGUGCCAGCAGCCGCCGUAAUACGGAGGAUCCAACAGUGAGCCGGAUUUAUUGGGUUUAAGGGGUGCGUAGGCGGAUUGAAAAGUUAGAGGUGAAAGGGCCGAGCUCAACUCGGGAACGGCAUAUAAUACUGUGGAACUAGAGAGUAGAAGGGGGAGGCGGAAUGCACGGUGUAGCAGUGAAAUGCGUAGAGAUC
rnacentral:rRNA from 1 species